rnacentral:rRNA from 1 species
CGUAGGGUGCAGGCGUUAAUCGGAAUUACUGGGCGUAAAGCGUGCGCAGGCGGUCUUUUAAGUCAGAUGUGAAAUCCCCGGGCUUAACCUGGGAACUGCGUUUGAAACUGGAAGGCUUGAGUGUGGCAGAGGGGGGUGGAAUUCCACGUGUAGCAGUGAAGUGCGUAGAGAUGUGGAGGAACACCGAUGGCGAAGGCAGCCCCCUGGGCUAACACUGACGCUCAUGCACGAAAGCGUGGGGAGCAAACAGGAUUAGAUACCCUGGUAGUCCACGCCCUAAACUAUGUCAACUGGUUGUCGGGGAAGCAAUUCCUUGGUAACGAAGCUAACGCGUGAAGUUGACCGCCUGGGGAGUACGGCCGCAAGGUUA